CCUACGGGUGGCAGCAGUGAGGAAUAUUGGUCAAUGGACGCAAGUCUGAACCAGCCAUGCCGCGUGCAGGAAGACGGCCCUAUGAGUUGUAAACUGCUUUUGUACGAGGGUAAACGCAGAUACGUGUAUCUGUCUGAAAGUACCGUACGAAUAAGGAUCGGCUAACUCCGUGCCAGCAGCCGCGGUAAUACGGAGGAUUCAAGCGUUAUCCGGAUUUAUUGGGUUUAAAGGGUGCGUAGGCGGGCGGAUAAGUUAGUGGUGAAAUCCCGAGGCUCAACUUCGGAAUUGCCUUUGAUACUGUUAGGCUAGAGAUUAGUUGAGGUAGGCGGAAUGUGUGGUGUAGCGGUGAAAUGCUUAGAGAUCAUGCAGAACACCGAUUGCGAAGGCAGCUUACCAGGCUACUACUGACGUUGAGGCACGAAAGCGUGGGGAGCAAACAGGAUUAGAUACCCGAGUAGUC
rnacentral:rRNA from 1 species